rnacentral:lncRNA from 1 species
UGUGGUGCUAUGCUAGUGCUUUUUUUUAGUAGAAGUGGCUUCUAGAACGAAUUCUGUUAAACCGAGUGAUCGUCUCAUCAUUCACAGAUUUUUCUCUAUUGCUCUUUGUUUCCUAAGUAUCAAGGAUACCAUAGUACAGUAGAUAUUAGUAGGAAAAACUGUCAAUAAUUUUGUAACAUCAUUUCUUGUAAAACCGGGGUGUAUGGUUUAGGGGGAACUAAGUUCUAACUAAAAUUACUUGGAACAGCUACAGUUGCAAUGGUAAGAAGUUGAGUACUUGAGUUAUUCAAUAUAUGCAAAUCAUCUAUGUCGCUGAAUAUGGGUCCUACACCUGCACAAUCUGGUUUACUAAUUUGUUUUAUAUUGGAUGUUUAGCAUUGGCAACACAGUUUUUGUUUUGCUUCCAGGCUUACCAUGCAAUCCGUUUAUUAACAGAUCAUUAAGACAAGAAGUGAGGCAUCAAAGAUUGCUCAAGGAGCUACACACACCUGGCCCUGAAAAUUGUAACUGAUUGAAGUUAAUAAUGCAUGUUUCU